rfam:Propionimicrobium lymphophilum ACS-093-V-SCH5 genomic scaffold aczIt-supercont-complete, whole genome shotgun sequence.
UUCAACCGUUUCCACAACGGAUCGUCGGGCACGUACCUGCCCGUGGAAAGGAUGUGU